CCUACGGGUGGCAGCAGUGAGGAAUAUUGGUCAAUGGGCGGAAGCCUGAACCAGCCAAGUAGCGUGAAGGAUGACGGCCCUACGGGUUGUAAACUGCUUUUAUACGGGAAUAACGCGCCUUACGUGUAGGGCUUUGCAUGUACCGUAUGAAUAAGGACCGGCUAAUUCCGUGCCAGCAGCCGCGGUAAUACGGAAGGGCCGGGCGUUAUCCGGAUUUAUUGGGUUUAAGGGGAGCGUAGGCCGCAUGUCAAGCGUGCUGGGAAAUGUCCGGGGUCAACCCUGGCCUUGCAGCGAGUACUGGCGUGCUUGAGUCCGGGGAAGGCAGGCGGAAUU
rnacentral:rRNA from 1 species